GCCGCGGAUGAGAGCCAUUCCGCAGGGAUUGCCCUGCCAAGGAAGCAGGAUGAAAGCCCUGGAGCUAGAGGGAGUGGGUGCUGCUGAUGGGCAGAAAAAGAUGUUUCCAGACAAACACACCCAGGCAUGAAUAAGGUAUGAGAAGUUGGACACGAUGUUGCAUUUCCUGCUCGUGCAUCUGUUGGAUAAGCUGUUUGGAGCCGCCACCGCAGCCAGAGAUUGUUUCUUCUCUACAUCAUGGCAGUCCCUGUGCCUCAGGGAAACAAGACGUGGGAUAGAAGGAACACAAACAAACAAACAAAAAGCCAAGAGAAAUUAUUUUUGCAUUGAAUCAUGCAGGAAAAGGCACACUCCUUUCAGAUGGAACCAAACAGCCAAGAAAAUUCUGAGAAAAAUGUGAUUUAAUGGGAAAACACAUGGAACAAAUGGAUUUUGUUUCCUCAGAGAUGUUUUGCAGAAAGGUCUGUGACUUCUCCAGCACCUCCAGCACCUCCUCCUGUGCUGUCUGCCUUGAGCAUGGGGACCACUGGCAUAGCCAGAGCCCAGUCCUCAUCUCCAUCCUCAAGAUUGCCCUUCAUGGAGAGCUAACCAUGCUCUGUAAACAGUGUGUUAACCUU